GACGAACGCUGGCGGCGUGCUUAACACAUGCAAGUCGAACGGAAAGGCCCUGCUUUUGUGGGGUGCUCGAGUGGCGAACGGGUGAGUAACACGUGAGUAACCUGCCCUUGACUUUGGGAUAACUUCAGGAAACUGGGGCUAAUACCGGAUAGGAGCUCCUGCUGCAUGGUGGGGGUUGGAAAGUUUCGGCGGUUGGGGAUGGACUCGCGGCUUAUCAGCUUGUUGGUGGGGUAGUGGCUUACCAAGGCUUUGACGGGUAGCCGGCCUGAGAGGGUGACCGGCCACAUUGGGACUGAGAUACGGCCCAGACUCCUACGGGAGGCAGCAGUGGGGAAUAUUGCGCAAUGGGCGGAAGCCUGAUGCAGCAACGCCGCGUGCGGGAUGACGGCCUUCGGGUUGUAAACCGCUUUCGCCUGUGACGAAGCGUGAGUGACGGUAUGGGUAAAGAAGCACCGGCUAACUACGUG
rnacentral:rRNA from 1 species